AAAUUGAUAUCUUCUCUUUCUCUUGAUAUCUUUGAUAUCUUGAUAUCUUUCUCUUUCAAGCAUUCUUCCUCCUCCAUUUCCCAGAGGCCAAUUCCACAUAAUGGUGUUUUAUUCAAAGAGGAGAAAAAACAAAUGAACACAACUGAUUAAUAUAUUGAAAAAGUCUGAAAAUAUGUGCAAUGUGUAACACCUAUGGGUCUCCCAAUACCACAAAGAAGUAGCCACCCAACCUUCAGCAAUCACCACCCUGAUGAAUCAGCAGCCAUCAACACUGAGGCAAGACCCUCCACUGGCAAAAAAGAUUAUGACUUGCUAAAGGCUCAAAUAAUGGUUGACGGUAGCAGGCAGGAAAAAAAAAAAAACACGUAAAGGAGGGCAGAAGAUGAAAAGAUUAGAAGUAAGGAAUGUCAAAGCUAGAUAAAAUUGAAGCCCAGAAAGGAGUGAUGCUCUCAAGGUCGUCAAAUUAAUUAAAGGAAGAAUUUGGACAGGAUCCAUCACAGAAAGAAAUUCUAUUUGAACUAAAAUCUUUUAAAAAUCACAUUUCAUUAAUAUUAACAUUCAUUUUUAAAAAUUUUGAGUUCCAAA
rnacentral:lncRNA from 1 species